rnacentral:lncRNA from 1 species
CCGGUUUUGUUCAAAAUAUACGAAGAAAUGUCGAAAUGUUCAGGACUUAAUUAAAUCCGUAUUUCGGUAGGAUGGUGCAAGCAUACGAUUUUAUUGCGUCUUACACUUUGAGAAGCGAAUAAUCUUCAACUACUUUAUUCAAAUAUUGUGUAAAAACGUUAAUUUUGAGCUAUGAAAGUCAAGUGGCUCGAGUAUUUUUCUGAGGAAGUUUCAAAAAAUUGCAAAGAAAUAUUUUUACAUUGGGUUAGCUUUCAUUAGUCUUAACUAUCUAUAGAUUAACAACUUUUGGUUAUAUUUAUAAUUUAGAAUCAUCAUUGAAGGUGGGGGACGAUUUCGCAGAUAAUUAAUUAUAUUGAUGUGCCAUUUGUAUGCAAGAGUGACAUUUCGUUGUAUUAUGUGCCAAUUCGAAAAAGUUAUGCGAGUAUUCUCUCCCCUUAACAGGUUCAUUAUUUUAUAAUUAAGUUUAGGUUUCUGAUAUAAUUUUGAAUAAUUACAAAAUGUAUCAAUUCAAUAUAUUUCAGUGUUUGUUAUUGGUGUAUCAAAAACAUUGAUG